rnacentral:rRNA from 1 species
UACGAAGGGUGCAAGCGUUACUCGGAAUUACUGGGCGUCAAGGGUGCGUAGGUGGUUUGUUAAGUCUGCUGUGAAAUCCCCGGGCUCAACCUGGGAAUGGCAGUGGAUACUGGCAAGCUAGAGUGCGGUAGAGGGUAGUGGAAUUCCCGGUGUAGCAGUGAAAUGCGUAGAGAUCGGGAGGAACACCAGUGGCGAAGGCGGCUACCUGGACCAGCACUGACACUGAAGCACGAAAGCGUGGGGAGCAAACAGG